AGCAGCCGCGGUAAUUCCAGCUCCAAUAGCGUAUAUUAAAGUUGUUGCAGUUAAAAAGCUCGUAGUUGAAUUUCGGGAUCGAAUUGUCGGUCGUGCUUCGGUACGCACUGGCAUUAUCGGUUCCUACCUUCUGAAGAACCGCGAUGUCAUUAAUUUGGUGUCGUGGGGAAUCAGGACUGUUACUUUGAAAAAAUUAGAGUGUUUAAAGCAGGCUUACGCUUGAAUACAUUAGCAUGGAAUAAUGAAAUAGGACGUUUGAUUCUAUUUUGUUGGUUCCUAGGAUCGACGUAACGAUUAAUAGGGAUAGUUGGGGGCAUUAGUAUUCAAUUGUCAGAGGUGAAAUUCUUGGAUUUAUUGAAGACUAACUACUGCGAAAGCAUUUGCCAAGGAUGUUUUCAUUAAUCAAGAACGAAAGUUAGGGGAUCGAAGACGAUCAGAUACCGUCGUAGUCUUAACCAUAAACUAUGCCGACUAGGGAUCGGAUGAUGUUAAUUUUAUAAUGACUC
rnacentral:rRNA from 1 species